rnacentral:rRNA from 1 species
UACGGAGGGAGCUAGCGUUAUUCGGAAUUACUGGGCGUAAAGCGCACGUAGGCGGCUUUGUAAGUCAGGGGUGAAAGCCCAGAGCUCAACUCUGGAAUUGCCUUUGAGACUGAGUGGCUUGAGUACGAGAGAGGUGAGUGGAAUUCCCAGUGUAGAGGUGAAAUUCGUAGAUAUUGGGAAGAACACCGGUGGCGAAGGCGGCUCACUGGCUCGUAACUGACGCUCAUGCACGACAGCGUGGGGAUCAAACAGG